AUUUUGAGUGAUCCUAUCAUUUUGUGAUAUCAUACAGUAUUUUCUAUACCAUAGCAGAGUUUCUUCAAAGAUGUCGUGGCUGUAUGAUCAACAGCUCAGGAGUAUUUGCUUUUGAUGAGUGGGGUGUCAAUGGAGAGGACUUCUUGACCUUUGAACCCCAGACUCUUAAAUGGACUCCUCUGUCUGACCUGGCCACCCCUGUUGCAGUAGAGUGGAACAAGCAGGACUCAUUGAUCAGGAAUCAUGUGUAUGGGGACUUUGGCCAGAUUUUGUGUCCCGAGACUCACAAUACCUUGAAGUUGAAGAGAGCAACAUGGAUCAAUGAAUCUGCACAAACGGAUAUGGAACUCCGUAUUUUUGCCAAACCUAUCCCAGGAAAUACCUCCACGAAUUUACAGUGUCACGUGACAGCCUCUGACCUAUCAGGAGUCAGAAUCCAGUUAACCAAAGAUGGGGUUCCUCUGGACUAUGGGGUGGAGUGGAUUGGACCGCGUCCCAAUGG
rnacentral:lncRNA from 1 species